rnacentral:tRNA from 1 species
GGCCCCGUCGUCUAGCGGUAAGGACAUUGGCUUUUCAAGCCAAGAACAGGAGUUCGACUCUCCUCGGGGCUACCA